rnacentral:rRNA from 1 species
GAUGAACGCUGGCGGCGUGCCUAAUACAUGCAAGUCGAGCGAACGGACGAGAAGCUUGCUUCUCUGAUGUUAGCGGCGGACGGGUGAGUAACACGUGGAUAACCUACCUAUAAGACUGGGAUAACUUCGGGAAACCGGAGCUAAUACCGGAUAAUAUUUUGAACCGCAUGGUUCAAAAGUGAAAGACGGUCUUGCUGUCACUUAUAGAUGGAUCCGCGCUGCAUUAGCUAGUUGGUAAGGUAACGGCUUACCAAGGCAACGAUGCAUAGCCGACCUGAGAGGGUGAUCGGCCACACUGGAACUGAGACACGGGCCAGACUCCUACGGGAGGCAGCAGUAGGGAAUCUUCCGCAAUGGGCGAAAGCCUGACGGAGCAACGCCGCGUGAGUGAUGAAGGUCUUCGGAUCGUAAAACUCUGUUAUUAGGGAAGAACAUAUGUGUAGGUAACUGUGCACAUCUUGACGGUACCUAAUCAGAAAGCCACGGCUAACUACGUG